rnacentral:lncRNA from 1 species
GAACUAACUACUCCAAGCCAUCUGAGGCCUAUUCGUGGUAGAGAUGAUAGGAUGCUCCAGGUUUACCUGAAGUUACGGUGUGACCUGCCCCCAAAGAGCCAAGCUCUCAACAUUCAUCUGCACCUUCCCCUGCCUCGAGGGGUCGUCAGCCUGUCUCAGGAACUGAGCAGCCCAGAUCAGAAGGCAGAGCUGGGAGAAGGAGCCCUUCACUGGGACCUGCCCCGGGUACAAGGAGGUUCUCAACUCUCUGGCCUUUUCCAGAUGGAUGUCCCUGGCUUGCAGGGACCUCCCAGCCGUGGGCCGUCCCCCUCAGCACCCCCCUUGGGGCUGGGUCCUGCCAGCCUCUCCUUUGAACUCCCUCGGCACACAUGCUCUGGCCU